rnacentral:rRNA from 1 species
AGAGUUUGAUCCUGGCUCAGAUUGAACGCUGGCGGCAGGCUUAACACAUGCAAGUCGAACGGUAACAGGAAGGAAGCUUGCUUUCUUUGCUGACGAGUGGCGGACGGGUGAGUAAUGCUUGGGAAUCUGGCUUAUGGAGGGGGAUAACUACGGGAAACUGUAGCUAAUACCGCGUAAUAUCUUCGGAUUAAAGGGUGGGACCGUAAGGCCACCUGCCAUAAGAUGAGCCCAAGUGGGAUUAGGUAGUUGGUGGGGUAAAGGCCUACCAAGCCGACGAUCUCUAGCUGGUCUGAGAGGAUGACCAGCCACACUGGAACUGAGACACGGUCCAGACUCCUACGGGAGGCAGCAGUGGGGAAUAUUGCACAAUGGGGGGAACCCUGAUGCAGCCAUGCCGCGUGAAUGAAGAAGGCCUUCGGGUUGUAAAGUUCUUUCGGUGACGAGGAAGGCAGGUAAGUUAAUAGCUUACUUGAUUGACGUUAGUCACAGAAGAAGCACCGGCUAACUCCGUGCCAGCAGCCGCGGUAAUACGGAGGGUGCGAGCGUUAAUCGGAAUGACUGGGCGUAAAGGGCACGCAGGCGGUGACUUAAGUGAGAUGUGAAAGCCCCGGGCUUAACCUGGGAAUUGCAUUUCAUACUGGGUCGCUAGAGUAUUUUAGGGAGGGGUAGAAUUCCACGUGUAGCGGUGAAAUGCGUAGAGAUGUGGAGGAAUACCGAAGGCGAAGGCAGCCCCUUGGGAAUAUACUGACGCUCAUGUGCGAAAGCGUGGGGAGCAAACAGGAUUAGAUACCCUGGUAGUCCACGCUGUAAACGCUGUCGAUUUGGGGAUUGGGCUUUGAGCUUGGUGCCCGUAGCU